CUGCCCGUCUUCUCACACAGAUAUAGGCGCAUGCCCACAUUAUAAAUCUUUCGCCUUUUACUAAAGAUUUCUGUGGAGAGGAACAUUUAUGAGUUUCUACCCAAUUUUUGACUCAGAAUCGUAGAAAUGUAGG
rnacentral:snRNA from 1 species